UUGGAGAUGGUGGAGGUGGAGAUUGGAGGAAGAGAGUUGUAGUAGUAGUAGGGUGAAUGAGGCUUAGGAGAUGGUGGAGGUAGAGAUUUAUAGUAUUAAGAUGUUUGAGAAUAAAUACGUAUGUUGAAGAUCUAAUUUAUUAUGUUAUUAAUUUGUAAAAAAUUAUUCUUUAUUUUAUUAUCAUAUUCAUUAUUAAAUUGUUAAUUUGAUAAGUCAUUGAUUAAAAUUAGAUGUUUGUUAUCAUGAUAGAGAUUAUGAUAAUGAGAAACAAAUUUUUUAUAAUUUUAAUUCAAAUUAUUCUUGAUAGUAUGAUUAUCGUGAAUAGGACAUCAAUAAUCAUGAUAGAUUAAUAUAUAUGUAAUGAUCUUUAUUGAAUAAAGAUUAAUAAAUUUUUAUUGAAUAAUGAUCUUUAACACGAGAUUAUCAUAGUAAUUAAUAAGUUAUUGGUAUAUUUUAAUUUCGGAUGCCUAAUGUCUUAGAACACUAGUUGAAUGAAUAUUAGAUAUGAUUAAAUACUUGUAAAAUUAAUGAUUAAUCAAGAAGGAAUCCAUCAAUUCUAGGUAAUGAGUUUGAGUUCUAUUUUAGAAUUAAGACAUUGACUAAGGCAAUUGAAUGAAAGAAGAAAAUAGUUUCUUAAGUCAUUCAUGUGUUAGCUUAUUAGAGUUUGACAAUAAUACUAUACUCUAGAGUUAACCUAUGAUGGAAGCAAAUAUUAUAUUCUUCUUCUAUUGGUUCUCGAAGGGAAAAAGAUUUUGUUUCAGGUUAUCCGGACUUUAAGGAGUGUUGUUAAACGCCUAACUUGAUUAAUAAAUUAAUUAUGAUUAAUUUAUUAUCAAUUUAGUAUUGAACCUACAAGGUCACACACAAACGAGUAUUUCAAUAUUUACAAAAGAAAAUAAUUUAUUUUGAUAAUUAAAUUAGAGAAUUUAAUUUAAUCAAAUAAAUAUUUUAGUGAAAUAUUAUUAUAUUUUUUGCUAGGACCAAUAAUAUAAUUAAUAUAUAAAAAGGGAAUAUUAUUUUAUAAUUGUGAAGAUGUCCAUAAAAUAAGAAUAAUAUUCAAUUGCUAUGUAUCAAGGAUGUGAUUAAUUAUUGUAAUUAGUUAUGUGAUUAAUUAUGAAUUAUCUUUAUCUUAAAUCAGUAAGCUUCUUAAAAUAAAAUAUAUGAGAUAAUAUUUUUUUUAUAAAGACAAAUAUAAAUGAAAUUAUUUUAUAUAUUUUCUUUUUUUUCUCACCCAAAUCCAUAUCUCUUUAAUAUUAUGAAUAAAAGUAUCUAUAUGAGGCAAAGCGUACUAAAUAAAGACUGAAAAAGGUUCAAGUCUAGUUUUAGACGUGAAAAGUAGAAAAAAAAUUAUUCUUUAGAGUUUCAUCCAUCAAAGAAUUUGAUAAUAAAGAUUGACCUGAGUAUAGAUACAAGUAGAGUUUUUAGACUAUUAAAAAAAAUGUGUUGCUUCAAAACCUACAUUUUGAUGCAUUAAUUUAUUAUUUAUUUAUUUAUUAUUAUUGUAUAUUUUGAAUAUAAAAUAAAUCCUAAUUUUUUUCCUACAAUUAUUAGAAACAUUUUUAUGUAACUAUCAUACUACACACACGAGGAUAUGAGGAUAUGGUGAAUGAGGUGGUGGAAACUUAUAAUAGUAAGUUGGAAGAGAUGGUGGAGGAGAAGAUUUGUAGGAAUAAGGUAUUGGACGACUUCAUUUUGUGGAAAGAGUCAUGAUUUAAUUUGUUUUUCCUCUCCUUCUCUUAAAAUUUAGUUAUGCCCGUAUAUCUUAUUGAAAACCACAUUUUUUUAGUCUUUCUGGACUGGAUACCCCUACCCCUGGCCAUGAUCAUAAUUCAUAACUAUUAUAUAUAUAUUACACGUAUUUUAUUUGUAACAAAUGGUAUAUCGAUGAGUUUUCUGAAUGUUUGAUCACAUGGAAAAUUUCUGAACGCGUCCUAGAGACUGAAACAGUUUUAUUUGCGCAAUAUAGAGUGUCGGUUUACUAAAAGAACGCACAGAUAGAUAUAUAUCUAUUCCAAAAUGAAGCGUAUGUAUACACGGAAUGAAAAAUGAUUAGUAAUAAUAAAUUAAUUUUACGAAAAUUUAUAAUUCUUUUAUUUUUUAUCUCUCUUAGUCGUUAAAAAGAUUAUGUAAAAUAUUGUAUGAGGACAGUUUCUUAAUAGAAACAUUCUAAUGCAUGUGAUACGUACGGAAUUAUUAUAAUUACAGUUGCACGAAGUAUAUUAUUAAUUAAUAUUCUCCUGUUAACAACCUUUUUUAUUGAGUAGUGUUUUUUCAUUGGAGGAAAUCCUUAAAUAUAUUUUUGGUGAAUCUAAGUUUACUUAAGCGGUACAUUAAUUAGAAAAAAAUAUUUUUUCCCCUAUUUUGUUUAUAUAAGUAAAAAAGUGAGAAUUAUAUGAACGUGCGAAGUGUGUGUAUGAGAUAAUAUUUGUUUUACAUAAUAUACCCUAAAUCAUAAAAGAAGCUUCACUGUGUAACUUAAAUUAAAAUUUGUAUAUCUCCCCCAUGUGCGUCUGACUACUGUUACCAUGCAUAUUCUAAUUAAGAACCCUGUUAGUGCCUUUCUUCUUUUUAUCCUCUUUCCUUCAUGAUCACCAUUGUUAAAUGGCAGUCAAUUCCAUGUACGUAUUGCAUCUCUGAAUUCAAGUCUAGCUGUCUCAUCGAGUUUAAUUUGUGAUAAUUGGUCUCAAGUAAAAAAGACCACUAAUUUGAUCAUUAAAUAUAUAUAUAUAUAUAUAUAUAUAUAUAUAGACAUAUAUAUAUAUAUAUAUAUAUAUAUAUAUAUAUAUAUAUAUAUAUAUAUAUAUAUAUAUAUAUAUAUAUAUAUAUAUAUAUAUAUAUAUAUAUAUAUAUAUAUAUAUAUUGAACAAUGCUAAUUAAAUACCAUAUAUAGUCAGAAAUAGAUCAGUGGGGGGUGCAUGUAUGUUAAGUUAGAAAGAGAUAAGAUCGUGGUUGUGGCAUAUAGACGUGCAUGGGGUGGUGUGGCUUAUAUGAUAUGAGAAAAUCAAGUAAUUGCAGGCAUUUUUUUUAAAAAAUAAAAUGACUUCAUUAAUCGUCUCCAACAUCAGUUAUAUAUAUUGACAUGUUUUUUAAAAUAAUCAAAACUGUCUCGCUCCCAAAUCCCUCUCACUUCUUUUCUUCCCUCUCACUGGCUUAGGGAUUUUCACUUUCGAAAAACAUGACUUAGGCCAUAAUUGAAGCCAUUAGACAGUAAUAUAUCAUAUGAGCAGGGGCCAAUCCAAACUCAAAUGGCUGUGAGGACCGAUAAUAAAAAAUAAAAUUCAUCUAACACAUCAUAAAAAUAUAUAUUCAUAAAUUAAUGUUUUAAAAUGUUAAUUACAAUAAUAAUCUAUUAAAACACGGGACCUUAUUCUUAUAUGUACUAAAUUUUUUAUCAAUUCUUCAAUGUAUAUUAACAAAAUGUGAAUCAAGAAUCCAUCUUUCAUCUUCUUUAAUAAUUAUAGAUUAACAAAAUUUGAGAAAAAUAAAACCUACUAUAUAAUAAGUAGAAUUAGUCAAAUAUAAUAUUCGGAUAAGAUAUUUUACAAAAAAAGAAAUAAAAUUACUAUUGAUUUUAUAAUUUAAAAUUACAGAAAAUAAAAAUUGAUGGUAUAAUAACAAAAAUUGUUAAAAAAUAAUAUUUAAAUAUUUUUUUUAAAAAAAGACAAAAUUGCUAUUGAUUUUAUAGUUUGAAAAAAAAGAGAUAAAAACAAUUAUAUAAAUUGAUGGAUUUGAAUCCAUCCAUUUUUUUUUAUGGAUAAAUUAGAUGAAUUUAUUGUGGAUGAAUUAAUUGGAUAAUGGAUAAAUGAAUUCAUUUGUCACCACUAGCCUGGGACCUAGUCAUGUCCACCAUAGUGGAAAAGUUAUUUUGACCAUUGGAUUUAAAUUUUUCUUGAGAUAAGUGCAGGCUUAUCUUAAGACAAGUUACACUGGAUUAUUAUUAUUAUUAUUAUUAUUAUUAUUAUUAUUUUCCUUAAAAAGUGUUAUUCUUUCCUGUUCUAGUUUAUCGCCCCUUUCUUUCUCUCUCCGACUCUCCCUUCCAUCUACUUAUUCUCCUCCUCCCCUUUUUCAAAAUGUCAUGCUUCUUCGGUGACCUCAACAACUUCUUUGUCAUCAAGCUCCUCGUCGGACACGUAGUUAGCUAUGGUAGGAUUUGAAUACGAAAGAAUGGGCUUCAACGUCCACAAAAUGCUGAUUGGUGCGAUUGUUACUUUAAUGCAAGUGUAGGUAGGUUUGGAGCUUUGAUGUAGGUUUGGGAUAUGUGUGUGUGUGUGGAAAGAAACACGACCUAAAUUUAGGGGAUAUGUAGAUUAUUAUGCUUUUUUAUGCAAAUAUUGACAAAUUUAUUGCAAACAACACAAAAAGAUAUAUUAAAAGAAUUUCACAAUAAUUUGAAUGAAAUCAUACACAAUCAACCAUAUUAAUCUACAAAGAAACAAAUAAGAAAGCUCUAAAAGCAGCCUGAAUUGAUAUCAACAUUUCUAAUCUUGCUUCCUUGUCUUGAAUCUUUUUGAUUUGUCGCUUCCUUGAACUUAGUAAGAACAACACUUGAAAAAUGGCCACCAAAUAAAUAGAAGCAACCUCAUAUGAGUCAUGAAGAUCGUAGCUUAGAGGUGAUACACUCAGACUCUUAUUCAAAGAACUUGUAUAACAAAUUAUAUGCUUAACUCUGCUCCAAAUGGAACGGAAAUUUAUUCCACAAUGAAUACUAGAACCUGAAAUAAAAUAAAAGUUUUCAAUACUUCUCAGAGUUUAUAAAUGCAUAUAAAAUAGACAUUUAUCUANNNNNNNNNNNNNNNNNNNNNNNNNNNNNNNNNNNNNNNNNNNNNNNNNNNNNNNNNNNNNNNNNNNNNNNNNNNNNNNNNNNNNNNNNNNNNNNNNNNNNNNNNNNNNNNNNNNNNNNNNNNNNNNNNNNNNNNNNNNNNNNNNNNNNNNNNNNNNNNNNNNNNNNNNNNNNNNNNNNNNNNNNNNNNNNNNNNNNNNNNNNNNNNNNNNNNNNNNNNNNNNNNNNNNNNNNNNNNNNNNNNNNNNNNNNNNNNNNNNNNNNNNNNNNNNNNNNNNNNNNNNNNNNNNNNNNNNNNNNNNNNNNNNNNNNNNNNNNNNNNNNNNNNNNNNNUGGUGAUGGUGAUGGUGGCGGGGGAGAUUUAUAGUAAUAUGGAGGAGGUGAUGGUGAUGGUGGAGGAGGGCUCUUGUAGUAAUAAGAAGGUGGGGGAGGAGAUUUGUAAUAGUAUGUUGGUGGUGGUGGAGGUGGUGACUUAUAGUAGUAAGGAGGGUGUGGGUGCGGUGAGGGUGAAGGGGGUGGGGGAGAGUUGUAAUAAUAUGGUUUGUGAUAAGGAGUAGGGGAAGGCUUGGGCUUGGGCUUUUCGCAAUCAUAUGACUUUUCAGGAGCAUAAGCAAAUGGCUUAGCCUUGAGCACAACUUCAUACUUAUCCUUGGACUUCACCUUCAAUUUGGUUCCCUCAUUAAGCUUGGUGGGUAUGUUACAGCGUGAAUCCUUAGGAGGAGCAUGGAGUUUAGCCUUGCAGACUGUGGCUCCAUAUUUCACAUAGUCAAAGCCUUCAACAGUGAUGCUGUACUUUCCAUUGCUCUUAGUUUUACCAUAAGCUUUUAUGGUCUUGCUCCCAACUUCACAAGUCACUUCGACCGUGGCACCUAAUUAACGAUGCCAUUAAAUGUGUGGAUCGCACAUGUUAUUGACAAAUCAAUCUAACAUAUAAAACCAUGACAUUAUUGUUUUCUUUAAUUUUAACGGAAGGAAAUGUUUUGUGAACACAAAAUGGGAUAAUAAAGUUAUUUCUUAUAACAUUAUGAUGUGUUUUUAAAACACGUGUACGAAAAAAAAGAAGCAUGUGUUACAUUAAUAAAUCUUUAUUUUUAAAGGUUUAAAUAAUAUAAAUAAAAUUAAAAUAGUUAACCUAUCCUAGCUUUUUCAUAUUUUGAUUGUUGGCUUCAUUGAUUACAUAAGAAAUAGUCGAUUCUAAACAAUAUUUUCUAUUUUCCAACAAAAAUUGUAUUUUUUUUUAUUGAAAUUCCAACUAAAGUCCUCUUCAAAAAAAAAUUGACAACUUUCUGUUUGAAAAGGGUAAUAUAGGUACUUUAAAAAGUAGUAUAUGUUUAGGUUGGUCAUUUGUUUAAUUAGUUAGCAUAGAUCAAGAUUCUCAAAAAUAUUUUUUUGUUAAAAUAUUUUCUCAAAUUGAAACAUGUUUUAUUUCUUAAUUGAAAUGAUAAUUACAAAAAAAAACUAGUUGACUAAAUAAAAAAAGGAGAAAUUAUAACUGUAAAAUUAUUUUAUAUUAGUUUUUUUUACAAAUUUUAUAGAGAAAAGAAAAAAAUGAGAAAAUAUCAAAUAAUUAAAUGAUUUAAUAGAAAAAAUAAAAAAAUAUGACUAAAAUACUAUAAGAAUAUUAUAUUGUAUUAAAAACAACUGUUUAUGUAUAAAUGCAGUUGAACUUCUCUAGACACAACAACACACACAUAACAAUAUCGAUGUAAUUAUACAAAUAAAAAUAUGAGCUUGAAAAAGAAAAAUUAAUUAAAGAAACAUAUAUGGCAGCCAAUGUCCCAAAUUAAAAUUUUGAGAAAAACAAAAGUACAGAUUAAUAUUACCAAAAAGUAACAUUUUUGAAGUAUUCAUAAUAUUAUUAUUGUGAAUGUAUUAGAAUGAAAUAGUAAAAAAAUAAAAGUAAUGUAGGUACCUUUGAGGUGUUUCUUGUUGUGCGACUUUUGGGGGUAUUUCCAGUCAUAACAUCUAUAACAAUAGACUUUACCCACAAUCUUAACAAUCAAUGGGUGAUGAUAUGGGUGAGGGUGAGGAUAUGGAGUGUAUGGAGGAGGCUUAGGAGAUGGUGGAGGCAGAGAUUUAUAGUAGUAAGGCACAUGAGGAGGAUACGGUGAAGGAGGAGGUGGAGACUUAUAAUAGUAAGGUGGAGGAGGUGAAGGAGAUGGUGGAGGAGGAGAUUUGUAGUAGUAAGGUGGUGGAGGAGAUGGUGAAGGAGGAGGCGGAGACUUGUAGUAAUAUGGAGGAGGGGGUGAGGGAGAUGGAGGAGGAGGAGAUUUGUAGUAGUAUGGUGUUGGAGCUGGGUGACUUCUCAGGUGGGGGAGGAGACUUGUAGUAGUAUGGUGGUGGUGGUGAUGGUGAAGGUGGUGGUGGGGACUUGUAGUAGUAAGGAGGUGGAGGUGAUGGAGAG
rnacentral:lncRNA from 1 species